UUGAAUAAACAAAAAUCGGAAAUAAAAUUGGAAACGAGAGAGAGAAAAACUCCAAAAACAUAUUUAUGCUCAAUCGUCUAUCUAUGUUCUUUCAAUCUUCUUCCACCUAAACAUAUAUCUCUGACCAAUCAAACUACUCUGAGAUAACAAUUUUUAAGAAAAUACUUUCUUUUUACAUUGCACCAUGUAUGAAUUUCAGAAGUUCAAUCAUUUUAUUGAAUUUCAUUUGUUGUGUAUUUAAUUGAAAGUACACAUUUCCAAAGAUAGGAUGAUUGAUUACAAUAAUCUCAUUGUUAAAAAUUGAGGGGUGUUUGUAUUUUUUCAUUUGCCAGAUUAUGGAAAUUUGGCUAUCGCAGGGCUCUAGAUUUUGGGUUGCAAUAUAUUUAGAACUUUUUGGUCUAGAAAGGUGAGAAUUUCUUAAGUACCAAUUUUCCUUUCUAUCAUGCUUAAACUUUAUUGGGAAUAUCAUUUUGGUUUCAUCUUCAUAGAGACGUAGAGAAAUACUUAAAAGAUUAUUUUGGUUACACACUAUAAUUUGGCAAUUGGUUGAUGUUUACAAAAUGAUCGCGCAUGUACACAUAUGCACGGAUAUCUAUCUAGGGUAUCUGACAUCGCUGAAUAGGAAUUCGCAUUAAAGUAGGUCGGUGUUUCACAGUUUUGCAUAUUUUCUUUCGUAUUUGCUCUUAUUGCUUAGUCGAGAAGAAAGUAAAAUUGUAGAUAAAAUUCACUGUUUUUUUUUCUUUCACUUUUCAAUUUAGUUGCUUAAGCGUUUUAAACAAUGCAAUUUUUUGUUUUCGAUAUUGAAUUCUCUAUUUGCAUAUAUCCAUGUGCUAUAUUUCAGUAUUCGGUUCUCCAGGAUUGUUUUCUAGAUUGAUAACUAAGUUGACUCUUCCAAUUAUAUCAAUUUUAUUGGUUUUACAGGGGAUUGGGAAGACUCGAAUGGAUUUAGUGUGGCUCUAAAUAGUAACAAUUUUAUUGGUUUUCUUGAUAACCUAAUAAUUUUUUCAGGAUCAAUCCAUUCAAUUAUUGUUACCUUUUGUUUAGGAAUCAAUAUGUGUCGUAUAGGCCUUUCCACAAUUUUGAAAUGAGUUUUGAAGUAUGUGCACCUAGGAAAACACAAAAACAAGAGUGGAAUGUAAAGCAAAAAAAGAUUUAUGACACAACUAAUUACCAUCAAUGCCAUUAAAAGAUUUCUUGAUCUUUAGCACGCAUCCAACAUAGUCCUUUCAUAUUUAUAUUUCAGUUUGAGGUUUCUGUAUGGUUCUUAAGAAACACAACAUCUCUUACACAUAUUUCUCCUACAUUAUAUCGAAGUAUGAUCAUACUUUUUGUUGGAGAGAUGGGUUUAAAAAAUGGAAUAACUCUAAUCCAGGAACCACGAGUAAGUAAAGAUAACAAAUUUAUAGUCGGGAAUGUUAUAUAGUUUGUAAGAAAAGGUAUUUUUAUGUAUGAAUUUUAGAAGUUCGAUCAUUUUAUUGAAUUUCAUUUGUUGUGUAUUUAAAUGAAAUUACACAUUUCCAAAGAUAGGUUGAUUGAUUACAAUAAUCUCAUUGUUAAAAUUGAGGGGUGUUUGUAUUUUUUUUCAUUUGCCAAAUUAUGGAAAUUUGGCUAUCGCAGGACGCUAGAUUUUGGGUUGCAAUAUAUUUAGAACUUUUUGGUCUAGAAAGGUGAGAAUUUCUUAAGUACCAAUUUUCCUUUCUAUCAUGCUUAAACUUUAUUAGGAAUAUCAUUUUGGUUUCAUAUUCUUAGAGACGUAGAGAAACAUUUAAAAGAUUAUUCUGGUUACACACUAUAAUUUGGCAAUUGGUUGAUGUUUACAAAUGAUCGCGCAUGUACACAUAAGCACGGAUAUCUAGCUAGGGUAUCUGACAUCGUUGAAUAGGAAUUCACAUUAAAGUAGGUCGGUGUUUCACAGUGUUGCAUAUUUUCUUUUCGUAGUUGUUGUUAUUGAUUAGUCGAGAAGAAAGUAAAAUUGUAGAUAAACUUCACUGGGUUUUUUCUUUCACUUUUCAAUUUAGUUGCUUAAGCAUUUUAAGCAAUGCAAUUUUUUGUUUUCGAUAUUGAAUUCUCUAUUUGCAUAUAUCCAUGUGCUAUAUUUCAGUAUUCGGUGCUCCAGGAUUGUUUUCUAGAUUGAUAGCUAAGUUGACUCUUCUAAUUAUAUCAAUUUUAUUGGUUUUACAGGGGAUUGGGAAGACUCGAAUGGAUUUAGUGUGGCUCUAAAUAGUCAAUUUUAUUGGUUUUCUUGAUAACCUAAUAAUUUUUUCAGGAUCAAUCCAUUCAAUUAUUGUUACCUUUUGUUUAGGAAUCAAUAUGUGUCAUAUAGUCCUUUCCACAAUUUUGAAAUGAGUUUUGAAGUAUGUGCACCUAGGAAAACAAAAAAAACAAGAAUGGAAUGCAAAGCAAAAAUAGAUUUAUGACACAACUAAUUACCAUCAAUGCCAUUAAAAGAUUUCGUGAUCUUUAGCACACAUCCAACAUAGUCCUUUCAUAUAUAUAUUUCAGUUUGAGGUUUCUGUAUGGUUCUUAAGAAACACAACAUCUCUUACAAAUAUUUAUCCCACAUUAUAUCGAAGUAUGAUCAUCCUUUUUGUUGGAGAGAUGGGUUUAAAAAAUGGAAUAACUCUAAUCCAGGAACCACGAGUAAGUAAAGAUAACAAAUUUAUAUUCGGGAAUGUUAUAUAGUUUGUAAGAAAAAGUAUUUUUAUGUAUGAAUUUUAGAAGUUCGAUCAUUUUAUUGAAUUUCCUUCGUUGUGUAUUUAAAUGAAAGUACACAUUUCCAAAGAUAGGCUGAUUGAUUGCAAUAAUCUCAUUGUUAAAAAUUGAGGGGUGUUUGUAUUUUAUUCAUUUGCCAGAUUAUGGAAAUUUGGCUAUCGCGGGGCGCUAGAUUUUGGGUUGCAAUAUAUUUAGAACUUUUUGGUAUAGAAAGGAGAUUGGGAAGACUCGAAUGGAUUUAGUGUGGCUUUAAAUAGUAACAAUUUUAUUGGUUUUCUUAAUAACCUAAUAAUUUUUUCAGGAUCAAUCCAUUCAACUAUUGUUAUUUUUUGUUUAGGAAAUCAAUAUGUGUCGUAUAGGACUUUCCACAAUUUUGAAAUGAGUUUUGAAGUAUGUGCACCUAGGAAAACACAAAAAACAAGAAUUGAAUGUAAAGCAAAAAAAUAUUUAUGACACAGCUAAUUACCAUCAAUGCCAUUAAAAGAUUUCUUGAUCUUUA